CCGUUUUUGUUACCUAUUGUGCCCUAAAGCAUUCAAAGGCAGAAUCAGACUUUAAAUCUAGGAAACCUGGUAUGUGGUAGGUCUCCUCCCAAAGCAUUUUCUCAUCCCUCUGCUCAGAGACCAGGAGGGACACAACAUAAUGGCAACAAUGACAUCAGAGGGAGAAAGUCAUCAUAAAGCAGACUUUCCUCAAUCUGGGGUGCCUUUCAAUUCUGACGGCGAUCCCGGCCUGUCCCCUACUUACCCCCUCUGGCUCUGAUUGUUCCUUCCACCACACUGUCCAAGAAGCGAGUCCAGCCCCUAGAAGCUGGAGUUACAGAAAGACUAACACAAAGAUGUGCACUCAGUGCCCCUUUUCCUCAUAUUGAGGGAAGAAGACUGUGCUGUAUGGACAGCCCGAAUGGUCUCUGUGAAUAACUGUGUGAACCAGAGAAUGGACAAGCUGAGGACUAGAACAAAUUUUUGAAGAUGAAGUUCCUGGGGCACAGAGAGGCUGUCUCCCCGACAGAGGCUCGCGAGCUCCUCCCUUCCGUCCUCCAUCUGUGUGAGCCUUUCAACAGCUGCUCCCUGCAUCCAUGUCUCCAUCUCAGAGACUAAAAAAGCCUCAGAGAGUUUCUGUGAACUACUUGCAAGAAUUCAUCAAGGACCAGCAGGCAGUCCUGAAGUUCUGAUAAAUAAAGCAGGUCCAAGGGCAGUUUUAAAGGAUAAGAAAGGGAGGCUGGGAGGCCAGUGGUUAGAGGGGACUUAAGAAAUUCACAACAGAAGGGCUGGGACCCUUCUGGACAUGGAUGGAGCUAGAAAGUUAUGCUAAGUGAAAUCAGUCAGAGAAAGACAGAUACUAUAUCAUGUCACUCAUAUGUGGGAUUUAAGAAACUAAACAAAUGAGCAAAAGGAAAAACAAAAGAGACAAACCAAGAAAUAGACUCUUGACUACAGAGAAUACACUGACACACUGGUGGUCCCCCAAAGGGAGGUGGGUGGGGGAUGAAUGAAACAGGUGAAGGGUGCACUUGUGAUGAGCACAGGGUGAUAUAUGGAAGUGAAGAAUAACCAUAUUCUACACCUGAAGCUAACAUAACACUGUAUGUUAACUGCACUGCAAUUACAAUUUUGAAAAAAAGAAACCCCAGGAGGGCUAGCUCAUACUCCUUACCAUUCAUCCCGAUUCAUCCUCCCAACUCAAGGCUCCUUAAAGCUGAAUUACUUCAAGACAAACCUUGGGCAAAGCCCUAUUUCAGAGAUUUGGAAAACCAUUGCUCUCCCAACCUCACCCUCUGCCGGAAACAUGUAAACUAAUACUCAGCAAUUUUUACCAAUUGCCUGAAAUCCCUUUAACUGGAAGAAACACACUCCUUUUCAGUUAGAGAUAAAAAGCCUUUAAUUGUGUCUUUGAAAGAAGUACAACAGGCAGGUGUGAAUACUGAAUUCAAAUGUUAGUCAUAAUAGAUGCUCUCCUUUUUCACUAUUAAAGAGAAAUAGGAAGAAAGAGAGAUGGGUGGGGACACUGGGGCCAAGAGAAGAGGGAAGACAAAGUUAAGAAAGGCCAAUGUCACAAUACUGCCACCAACAUCUCCUCUCUUUUCGCGUGCCCACGAAUAAAGGCAGCGGGCACUGGUACUUCCAAGUCCUCAGAAGGCAGCCCCCACUCAGGUGAAAAUGUGUUAACGGGUCUCUUUGGAGACAGCUGGACAUCAGGAUGCCUCUUUAUCGGAGUCACAUGCACGGUUUUCCAUACACUGUCUCUAAGAAACAGAACUACCAAAGACUAUUUGGAGGCCAAGAAUCACCACAGGCUAUGUCUACAAGGAAAGAGGGAGCAGGAGAGUUGAGGCAAUGGCUGAGAUAAAAGAGAACGCCCUCUUACUAAUGGAAAAAAGAAUUUUCUCCUGAAUACGGUAACAUAGUCUAGGUAGCUACUCUGAUCACAGUUACAAGAUUCCUGCUCCAAUCUGCCCUGAGGACAUAAGUUCAGUUCACAAAUGAGCCUUUCAUCAGUUACCAUUUCAUUUCAAAAGAGAGGGCAUUUGCAAUUCCAGGAAAUGAUUUGUUUUUUGGUUACUGGUAUUGUGUUUAAAAUAUUAAAAAUACUCAUUGCCAA